UACGGAGGAUCCAAGCGUUAUCCGGAUUUAUUGGGUUUAAAGGGUGCGUAGGCGGAAUGAUAAGUCAGUGGUGAAAGCCUGCAGCUUAACUGCAGAACUGCCAUUGAUACUGUCAAUCUUGAGUACAUUUGAUGUGGGCGGAAUGUGUCAUGUAGCGGUGAAAUGCUUAGAUAUGACACAGAACACCGAUUGCGAAGGCAGCUCACAAAACUGUAACUGACGCUGAGGCACGAAAAGCGUGGGUAUCAAACAGG
rnacentral:rRNA from 1 species